UACUCCCUCCGGUCUUAAUUAUAAGCAAAUAUUCACUUUUCAGAUUCAUUGAAUAACUAAUGUAUCUGAAAAGUGAAUAUUUGCUUAUAAUUAAGGCCGGAGGGAGUA
rnacentral:pre_miRNA from 1 species